rnacentral:rRNA from 1 species
ACACGCAUGACACACUGCAUAUCAAUAAGCGGAGGAAAAGAAACUAACAAGGAUUCCCUUAGUAACGGCGAGUGAAGCGGGAAGAGCUCAAAUUUGAAAUCUUCAAGGUUCUACCUUGACGAAUUGUAGCUUAUAGAAGUGUUUUCUGUUAGUAGAGUGGCAAAAGUUCUUUGGAAUAGGACAUCAUAGAGGGUGAGAAUCCCGUAUUUGGUCAUUCUUUCUAGCUUUGUGAUACACUUUCAACGAGUCGGAUUGUUUGGGAAUGCAGUCCAAAAUGGGUGGUAAAUUUCAUCUAAAGCUAAAUAUUGGCGAGAGACCGAUAGCGAACAAGUACCGUGAGGGAAAGAUGAAAAGAACUUUGAAAAGAGAGUUAAACAGUACGUGAAAUUGUCAAAAGGGAAGCGUUUGACACCAGUGUUGUUUUUCCGAAAAUCAAUUACGAAUGUUUUGUUUUUGAGAAGUUAUGACUUCAUCGGCUUGCUUCUCUCUUUACGAAACUUUCUUAAUGCACUUUUCGGUUAACAAGUCAACAUCAAUUUCUUUUGUUGUAAAAGGGUAUGAGGAAGGUGGCUUUCUUUUCGGAGAAAGUGUUUAUAGCCUUGUACCUCUGCAAUCGGAGAGAUUGAGGUCUGCAGCGUAGAUCCUUCGGGGUUAGAUACAUUUGUGCUAAGUUAUAGCUUUUCAUAGACAACUUGUUGACUAUGAUUUCAGUCAUGUAGCUUACUCGCUUAUGCUAUUUUACCUACGCUUAGGAUGUUGAUCUACAGAGCGAGAGU